UACGGAGGAUCCGAGCGUUAUCCGGAUUUAUUGGGUUUAAAGGGUGCGUAGGCGGACCCGUCAGUCAGUGGUGAAAGUUUGCAGCUUAACUGUAAAAUUGCCAUUGAAACUACGGGUCUUGAGUGUAAAUGAGGUAGGCGGAAUGUGUUGUGUAGCGGUGAAAUGCUUAGAUAUAACACAGAACACCAAUUGCGAAGGCAGCUUACUAGGAUACAACUGACGCUGAGGCACGAAAGCGUGGGGAUCAAACAGG
rnacentral:rRNA from 1 species